GGUAAGAUGGCCGAGUGGUUAAGGUAAUUCAUCCCAUCUAUAGUUAAUAUAUGAUCACUCCCUAACGAAGAGUAUACAGGCGGCAGAUUUAAGCCCUGCUGACGUAUGUCACCUGGGUUCGAACCCCAGUCUUACCA